UACGUAGGGCGCAAGCGUUGUCCGGAAUUAUUGGGCGUAAAGAGCUCGUAGGCGGUUUGUCGCGUCUGCUGUGAAAACUCGAGGCUCAACCUCGGGCUUGCAGUGGGUACGGGCAGACUAGAGUGCGGUAGGGGUGACUGGAAUUCCUGGUGUAGCGGUGGAAUGCGCAGAUAUCAGGAGGAACACCGAUGGCGAAGGCAGGGCACUGGGCCGCAACUGACGCUGAGGAGCGAAAGCAUGGGGAGCGAACAGG
rnacentral:rRNA from 1 species